rnacentral:piRNA from 1 species
AAUGUUGGUGUUGCUCAUGUUGUCA